UGGGUCUCAAAUACCAUUAGAUAAAGAAAGUACAAGUGACAGCUAAGGAUAAGGAAAAGGUCUCAUAAAGUUUCCUUGCAAAUGUGAUACCAAUUAGCCCUUCUUGUUCACUGGGCAGGAGGUAAACACGCAGCUACCAUGGCUGGUCUUAGCUCAUUAUCUCAACAUAAUUAGCAGGGGAGUUUUGGAAAUACUUUUGGGCAACUAUAGUUUGCAACAGCAGCAACAAAAGGAAAACUAAAAGCUAAAGUAUUUGGUAGUGUUGGUAGCAAUAACAACUUGAAAUUUGGCAAUUUGGGAGAGGGAAAAAGCUGCUCCUUUCCAAGCUUCGAAGAGAUCAAUAGCUCAAGUAUUCUACAACUAGAAAAUUAUGAAACUCCACUAGUUAUCAAAGAUUGAAGUUGUUUGGAUCGACUGACUCAUUCUUUAACAUUUGGAGCUAACAGUUGGUGAAGUAAGGUGACUUUGAGGUGCACAGGGAGACAGACUCGAUCCAUAGCGGUAUUCUCAAAGACCACCUAGCGGAGCUCCAUUUCAUUCGGAACCAUAGCUUUUGGGUACUUAUUAUUUUGUGUACAUAAUUAUGGGCAUAGCGGGGUCCUGUCCCGCUUAUGUGAUGUGUUAUACUCUCCUUAGAUGCUCGUAGUCACGUGUAUAUGAUUAUAUAUGUCUGGCCUUGUUGGCCUAUAUUUUGUAUAUCAUUUUGUUAGCCUUGUCGGCUCAUGUACAUUGAUGUGGCAUAGAUGCCAAUUAUGAUAUAAAGGCAUUGUUGUCCAAUGGGACUAGCAUGAUGAA